rnacentral:tRNA from 2 species
GGGUAGUUACCAGAGUGGCCAAAUGGGGCAGACUGUAAAUCUGCUGGCUCUUGCCUUCGGUGGUUCGAAUCCAUCACUACCCA